rnacentral:rRNA from 1 species
GCAGUGGGGAAUAUUGGACAAUGGACCAAAAGUCUGAUCCAGCAAUUCUGUGUGCACGAUGAAGGUUUUCGGAUCGUAAAGUGCUUUCAGUAGGGAAGAAAAAAUGAACGGUACCUACAGAAGAAGCGACGGCUAAAUACGUGCCAGCAGCCGCGGUAAUACGUAUGUCGCAAGCGUUAUCCGGAAUUAUUGGGCGUAAAGCGCGUCUAGGCGGCCUUUUAAGUCUGAUGUGAAAAUGCGGGGCUCAACUCCGUAUUGCGUUGGAAACUGGAAGGCUAGAGUAUCAGAGAGGUGGGCGGAACUACAAGUGUAGAGGUGAAAUUCGUAGAUAUUUGUAGGAAUGCCGAUUGGGAAGCCAGCUCACUGGAUGAAUACUGACGCUGAAGCGCGAAAGCGUGGGGAGCAAACGGGAUUAGAUACCCCUGGUAG